UACGUAGGAGGCAAGCGUUGUCCGGAAUUACUGGGCGUAAAGCGCGUGUAGGUGGUGGGACAAGUCUGCUGUGAAAGCGCCUGGCUUAACCGGGCGAGGUCGGCGGAAACUGUUCGACUCGAGGACGGUAGAGGGGGGUGGAAUUCCCGGUGUAGUGGUGAAAUGCGUAGAGAUCGGGAGGAACACCUCUGGCGAAGGCGGCCCCCUGGGCCGGCCCUGACACUGAGACGCGAAGGCGUGGGGAGCGAACGGG
rnacentral:rRNA from 1 species